UACGUAGGGUGCAAGCGUUGUCCGGAAUUAUUGGGCGUAAAGAGUUCGUAGGCGGUUACUUAAGUCUGGUGUUAAAGCCCGAUGCUCAACGUCGGCAUGGCAUUGGAAACUGGGUAGCUAGAGUGUGUCAGAGGUUACGGGAAUUCCUGGUGUAGCGGUGAAAUGCGUAGAUAUCAGGAGGAACACCUGUGGCGAAAGCGCGUAACUGGGGCAUAACUGACGCUGAGGAACGAAAGCCGGGGUAUCCAAAGGG
rnacentral:rRNA from 1 species